AGAGUUUGAUCCUGGCUCAGAACGGACGCUGGCGGCAGGCUUAACACAUGCAAGUCGAACGCACCGCAAGGUGAGUGGCAGACGGGUGAGUAACGCGUGGGAACGUGCCCUUCAGUUCGGGAUAACCCAGGGAAACUUGGGCUAAUACCGGAUACGUGCGAGAGCAGAAAGAUUUAUCGCUGAAGGAUCGGCCCGCGUCUGAUUAGCUAGUUGGUAGGGUAAUGGCCUACCAAGGCGACGAUCAGUAGCUGGUCUGAGAGGAUGAUCAGCCACAUUGGGACUGAGACACGGCCCAAACUCCUACGGGAGGCAGCAGUGGGGAAUAUUGGACAAUGGGCGCAAGCCUGAUCCAGCCAUGCCGCGUGAGUGAUGGAGGCCUUAGGGUUGUAAAGCUCUUUCGGCGGGGACGAUAAUGACGGUACCCGCAGAAGAAGCCCCGGCUAACUUCGUGCCAGCAGCCGCGGUAAUACGAAGGGGGCUAGCGUUGUUCGGAAUCACUGGGCGUAAAGGGCGCGUAGGCGGCCUGAUAAGUCGGGGGUGAAACCUGUGGCUCAACCACAGAAUUGCCUUCGAUACUGUCGGGCUUGAGACCGGAAGAGGUCAGUGGAACUGCGAGUGUAGAGGUGAAAUUCGUAGAUAUUCGCAAGAACACCAGUGGCGAAGGCGGCUGACUGGUCCGGUUCUGNNNCUGANNNGCGAAAGCGUGGGGAGCAAACAGGAUUAGAUACCCUAGUAGUCC
rnacentral:rRNA from 1 species